rnacentral:rRNA from 1 species
GACAGAGGUGCCGAGCGUUAGGCGGAAUCACUGGGCUUAAAGCGUGUGUAGGCGGACCGUUAAGUACCUUGUGAAAUCCCCCGGCUCAACCGGGGAACGGCUGGGUAUACUGGCGGUCUUGAGCCAUCCAGGGGCAGUCGGAACAGACGGUGGAGCGGUGAAAUGCGUAGAUAUCGUCUGGAACGCCGAAGGUGAAACAGAACUGCUG